rnacentral:tRNA from 1 species
GGUUUUAUAGUUUAUUAAAAUAUUAAAUUGCAAAUUUAAAGAUACAUGUAGUGUUAAAACUU